rnacentral:rRNA from 1 species
GACAGAGGCCUCAAGCGUUAGGCGGAAUCACUGGGCUUAAAGCGUGUGUAGGCGGAUCGUUAAGUGUCUUGUGAAAUCCCACGGCUCACCCGUGGAACUGCUGGGCAUACUGGCGAUCUUGGGCCAACUAGGGGCAACUGGAACAAGCGGUGGAGCGGUGAAAUGCGUAGAUAUCGCUUGGAACGCCAACGGUGAAAACAGGUUGCUGGGGUUGUGCCGAC